UGGGGAAUUUUGGACAAUGGGGGAAACCCUGAUCCAGCCAUCCCGCGUGUGCGAUGAAGGCCUUCGGGUUGUAAAGCACUUUUGGCAGGAAAGAAACGUCGCGGGUUAAUACCCCGCGAAACUGACGGUACCUGCAGAAUAAGCACCGGCUAACUACGUGCCAGCAGCCGCGGUAAUACGUAGGGUGCAAGCGUUAAUCGGAAUCACUGGGCGUAAAGCGUGCGCAGGCGGUUCGGAAAGAAAGAUGUGAAAUCCCAGAGCUUAACUUUGGAACUGCAUUUUUAACUACCGGGCUAGAGUGUGUCAGAGGGAGGUGGAAUUCCGCGUGUAGCAGUGAAAUGCGUAGAUAUGCGGAGGAACACCGAUGGCGAAGGCAGCCUCCUGGGAUAACACUGACGCUCAUGCACGAAAGCGUGGGGAGCAAACAGGAUUAGAUACCCUGGUAGUCCACGCCCUAAACGAUGUCAACUAGCUGUUGGGGCCUUCGGGCCUUGGUAGCGCAGCUAACGCGUGAAGUUGACCGCCUGGGGAGUACGGUCGCAAGAUUAAAACUUAAAUGAAUUGACGGGGGUCAUAGCUGUUUCCU
rnacentral:rRNA from 1 species